UACGAAGGGGGCUAGCGUUGCUCGGAAUCACUGGGCGUAAAGCGCACGUAGGCGGAUCUUUAAGUCAGGGGUGAAAUCCUGGAGCUCAACUCCAGAACUGCCUUUGAUACUGGGGAUCUCGAGUCCGGGAGAGGUGAGUGGAACUGCGAGUGUAGAGGUGAAAUUCGUAGAUAUUCGCAAGAACGCCAGUGGCGAAGUCGGCUCACUGGCCCGGUACUGACGCUGAGGUGCGAAAGCUUGGGGAGCAAACAGG
rnacentral:rRNA from 1 species